UACGUAGGUGACAAGCGUUGUCCGGAUUUACUGGGCGUAAAGAGCGCGCAGGCGGUCGAUCAAGUCGAGUGUGAAAGCCCCCCGGCUCAACUGGGGAGGGUCAUUCGAUACUGAUCGACUCGAAGGCAGGAGAGGGUAGUGGAAUUCCCGGUGUAGUGGUGAAAUGCGUAGAUAUCGGGAGGAACACCAGUGGCGAAGGCGACUACCUGGCCUGUUCUUGACGCUGAGGCGCGAAAGCUAGGGGAGCAAACGGG
rnacentral:rRNA from 1 species